rnacentral:rRNA from 1 species
UGGGGAAUAUUGGACAAUGGACCAAGAGUCUGAUCCAGCAAUUCUGUGUUCACGAUGACGUUUUUCGGAAUGUAAAGUGCUUUCAGUUGGGAAGAAAAAAAUGACGGUACCAACAGAAGAAGUGACGGCUAAAUACGUGCCAGCAGCCGCGGUAAUACGUAUGUCACAAGCGUUAUCCGGAUUUAUUGGGCGUAAAGCGCGUCUAGGUGGUUAUGUAAGUCUGAUGUGAAAAUGCAGGGCUCAACUCUGUAUUGCGUUGGAAACUGUGUAACUAGAGUACUGGAGAGGUAAGCGGAACUACAAGUGUAGAGGUGAAAUUCGUAGAUAUUUGUAGGAAUGCCGAUGGGGAAGCCAGCUUACUGGACAGAUACUGACGCUGAAGCGCGAAAGCGUGGGUAGCAAACAGGAUUAGAUACCCUGGUAGUCCACGCCGUAAACGAUGAUUACUAGGUGUUGGGGGUCGAACCUCAGCGCCCAAGCAAACGCGAUAAGUAAUCCGCCUGGGGAGUACGUACGCAAGUAUG